rnacentral:rRNA from 1 species
AGGGUUUGAUUCUGGCUCAGAGCGAACGCUGGCGGUCGGUUUUAGGCAUGCAAGUCGUGCGGUAACAGUAGAGAGCUUGCUCUUUAGCUGACGAGCGGCGGACGGGUGAGUAACGCGUAGGGAUCUACCCUAAGGUUUGGGAUAGCUCGGAGAAAUCCGGGGUAAUACCGAAUGAUAACAGUAAUGUUCAAAGGUGCGUUUGCACCGCCUAAGGAUGAACCUGCGUCCCAUCAGGUAGUUGGUAGGGUAAAGGCCUACCAAGCCAGAGACGGGUAGCUGGUCUGAGAGGACGACCAGUCACAAGGGAACUGAGACACGGUCCCUACUCCUACGGGAGGCAGCAGCCAAGAAUUUUCCGCAAUGGGGGCAACCCUGACGGAGCGACGCCGCGUGAAGGAUGAAGGUCUUCGGAUUGUAAACUUCUUUUAUUCGGGAAGAAUAAGGUGUGGAGGAAAUGCCAUACUGAUGACGGUACCGGAUGAAUAAGCCCCGGCUAAUUACGUGCCAGCAGCCGCGGUAAUACGUAAGGGGCGAGCGUUGCUCGGAAUUACUGGGCGUAAAGGGCUUGUAGGCGGCAGUGCAAGUCGAAUGUAAAAUACAACGGCUUAACCGUUGGCAUGCGUUCGAAACUGCACAGCUAGAGUCUGGUGGAGGGUGAUGGAAUUCCCUGUGUAGCGGUGAAAUGCGUAGAUAUAGGGAAGAACACCAAAGGCGAAGGCAAUCAUCUAUGCCAAGACUGACGCUGAGGAGCGAAAGCGUGGGGAGCAAACAGGAUUAGAUACCCUGGUAGUCCACGCUGUAAACGAUGUUCACUAGGAGUUGGCGGGUUACCGUUAGCUCCGCAGCAAACGCAUUAAGUGAACCGCCUGGGGAGUACGGCCGCAAGGUUGAAACUCAAAGAAAUUGACGGGGGCCCGCACAAGCGGUGGAGCACGUGGUUUAAUUCGAUGAUAAGCGAAGAACCUUACCAGGGCUUGACAUGUUACUGCAAUUCUCUGAAAGGAGGAGUUCUCGUAAGAGACGGUAUCACAGGUGCUGCAUGGUUGUCGUCAGUUCGUGCCGUGAGGUGUUGGGUUAAGUCCCGCAACGAACGCAACCCCUGUUUUUAGUUGCUACAUUUAGUUGAGCACUCUAGAAAGACUGCCGGCGACAAGUCGGAGGAAGGAGGGGACGACGUCAAAUCAUCAUGGCCUUUAUGCCCUGGGCUACACACAUGCUACAAUGGCUAGUACAACGGGAAGCUAAGGGGUGACCUGGAGCAAAUCCUAAAAAGUAGCCUCAAUUUGGAUUGUAGUCUGCAACUCGACUACAUGAAACUGGAAUCGCUAGUAAUCGCAGGUCAGCAAUACUGCGGUGAAUACGUUCUCGGGCCUUGUACACACCGCCCGUCACACCACCCGAGUUGGUUUUUCCUGAAGCUGGUUACUCUAACCGUAAGGAUGAGGCUAGUUAGGGAGGGGCUGGUAAGGGGGGUGAAGUCGUAACAAGGCA